CUGUAAGCCUGUGAAGGUGUACUGUGAGGUAUGCUGGAGGUAUCAGAAGUGCGAAUGCUGACAUAAGUAACGAUAAAGCGGGUGAAAAGCCCGCUCGCCGGAAGACCAAGGGUUCCUGUCCAACGUUAAUCGGGGCAGGGUGAGUCGACCCCUAAGGCGAGGCCGAAAGGCGUAGUCGAUGGGAAACAGGUUAAUAUUCCUGUACUUGGUGUUACUGCGAAGGGGGGACGGAGAAGGCUAUGUUGGCCGGGCGACGGUUGUCCCGGUUUAAGCGUGUAGGCUGGUUUUCCAGGCAAAUCCGGAAAAUCAAGGCUGAGGCGUGAUGACGAGGCACUACGGUGCUGAAGCAACAAAUGCCCUGCUUCCAGGAAAAGCCUCUAAGCAUCAGGUAACAUCAAAUCGUACCCCAAACCGACACAGGUGGUCAGGUAGAGAAUACCAAGGCGCUUGAGAGAACUCGGGUGAAGGAACUAGGCAAAAUGGUGCCGUAACUUCGGGAGAAGGCACGCUGAUAUGUAGGUGAAGCGACUUGCUCGUGGAGCUGAAAUCAGUCGAAGAUACCAGCUGGCUGCAACUGUUUAUUAAAAACACAGCACUGUGCAAACACGAAAGUGGACGUAUACGGUGUGACGCCUGCCCGGUGCCGGAAGGUUAAUUGAUGGGGUCAGCGCAAGCGAAGCUCUUGAUCGAAGCCCCGGUAAACGGCGGCCGUAACUAUAACGGUCCUAAGGUAGCGAAAUUCCUUGUCGGGUAAGUUCCGACCUGCACGAAUGGCGUAAUGAUGGCCAGGCUGUCUCCACCCGAGACUCAGUGAAAUUGAACUCGCUGUGAAGAUGCAGUGUACCCGCGGCAAGACGGAAAGACCCCGUGAACCUUUACUAUAGCUUGACACUGAACAUUGAGCCUUGAUGUGUAGGAUAGGUGGGAGGCUUUGAAGUGUGGACGCCAGUCUGCAUGGAGCCGACCUUGAAAUACCACCCUUUAAUGUUUGAUGUUCUAACGUUGACCCGUAAUCCGGGUUGCGGACAGUGUCUGGUGGGUAGUUUGACUGGGGCGGUCUCCUCCUAAAGAGUAACGGAGGAGCACGAAGGUUGGCUAAUCCUGGUCGGACAUCAGGAGGUUAGUGCAAUGGCAUAAGCCAGCUUGACUGCGAGCGUGACGGCGCGAGCAGGUGCGAAAGCAGGUCAUAGUGAUCCGGUGGUUCUGAAUGGAAGGGCCAUCGCUCAACGGAUAAAAGGUACUCCGGGGAUAACAGGCUGAUACCGCCCAAGAGUUCAUAUCGACGGCGGUGUUUGGCACCUCGAUGUCGGCUCAUCACAUCCUGGGGCUGAAGUAGGUCCCAAGGGUAUGGCUGUUCGCCAUUUAAAGUGGUACGCGAGCUGGGUUUAGAACGUCGUGAGACAGUUCGGUCCCUAUCUGCCGUGGGCGCUGGAGAACUGAGGGGGGCUGCUCCUAGUACGAGAGGACCGGAGUGGACGCAUCACUGGUGUUCGGGUUGUCAUGCCAAUGGCACUGCCCGGUAGCUAAAUGCGGAAGAGAUAAGUGCUGAAAGCAUCUAAGCACGAAACUUGCCCCGAGAUGAGUUCUCCCUGACUCCUUGAGAGUCCUGAAGGAACGUUGAAGACGACGACGUUGAUAGGCCGGGUGUGUAAGCGCAGCGAUGUGUUGAGCUAACCGGUACUAAUGAACC
rnacentral:rRNA from 1 species